ACUUGAUCAAGUCAUGGGAUUCUUUCUGUGACACACAUUCAUGAGAUUUUUGGCACCAGUCUUUGUGCUUGAGGAUGAUGCUGCUGAGAUAUGGAAGUGUGUGACUUUGCAGGACUCUGAGAUUACUGAUGAAAGGAACCCUGGUGUCUGUUAUAGAGGCAGUAAUAAAAUACGUUUAUUAAGAAAUCUCUGCUUUGUGCUACUCCCACUGUGCGUGGCCUGUUUUUACACUUCCCUACUGUCUCUCAGUGUUUGA
rnacentral:lncRNA from 1 species